rnacentral:tRNA from 2 species
AGCCCUAGAAAGCUCCGCAAGCA